GAUAAACGCUGGCGGCGUGCAUGAGACAUGCAAGUCGAACGGACGAUCGAGGCUUGCUUCGAUCGUUAGUGGCGGACGGCUGAGUAACGCGUAGGUGACCUGCCCCGAAGUGGGGAAUAACUGCCCGAAAGGGUGGCUAAUACCGCAUGUGGUGGUGCGUUCAAUCGCACCAGUAAAGCCGCAAGGCGCUUCGGGAGGGGCCUGCGUCCGAUUAGCUCGUUGGUGGGGUAACGGCUCACCAAGGCGACGAUCAGUAGGUGGUCUGAGAGGACGAUCACCCAGACUGGGACUGAGACACGGCCCAGACUCCUACGGGAGGCAGCAGUCGGGAAUUUUGCGCAAUGGACGAAAGUCUGACGCAGCAACGCCGCGUGAGGGAUGACGGCCUCGG
rnacentral:rRNA from 1 species